rnacentral:misc_RNA from 1 species
UCCGGGUUGCUCCCGGCGGUCUCGCCAGAAAAGGUAACUGGCGACGAGGGUUGCGCUCGUUGCGGGACUUAACCCAACAUCUCACGACACGAGCUGACGACAGCCAUGCAGCACCUGUGCACGGACUCCGAAGGGAGACCGUGUUUCCACGGCUGUCACCUACAUGUCAAGCCCAGGUAAGGUUCUUCGCGUUGCGUCGAAUUGAACCACAUGCUCCUCCGCUUGUGCGGGCCCCCGUCAAUUCCUUUGAGUUUCAGUCUUGCGACCGUACUCCCCAGGCGGCGAACUUAACGCGUUAGCUUCGAUACUGAGUGCCUAGUUGCACCCAACAUCCAGUUCGCAUCGUUUAGGGCGUGGACUAC